rnacentral:lncRNA from 1 species
CCCCAGACCCCUGCUUCCUAGCGCCCAGCCCGCGCCGGCGGAUGGACCCCCGAGGCCUUCUCUUGCAAGCCCGGGGCCGCCGCCUCCCCGCGUGUGCCCCCGUCGCCCUCACCACUGCCUGCCACGCCGCUCGGCCCCAGGGAGGAAGCCGGCAAGGAAGACGCUCAUCUUCUUCUGAGGGGUGGUGGCUCCAGGUGCAGGCCCCUCCUGGGCUGCCCCAGCCCUGUGUCUCUGGGCACCCGCUAGGGCUGACCUCGCCAGCCCAGCAGGCCCUUCCCCUGCCCAAGCACACACCCGGCAGCCACCUGGUUGGGCCAGGCUGUUGGUGCCUUGGGUCCUGUGGCUCUUUCUGUAGGAUUAGCGGUGCCACCUGGGCAAUUCCCUCCACCUUCUUCUGUAUAAGGAAGUUUUCAUGGAAGGUUAACCCCAGCUAAAUCAAGGAGCUAUUUUAAACAAUAGGGUAGGGGAGAGAUGGCUCCCAGCUGCUUUUCCCAGGCAGCAAGGAGCAUGGGGUCCCCAUGGGGCUGGGGGACAGGCAAGACCUCAGUCAGGGGACCUGCUGGCCCCAGCUGGGCUGCGCGGCCCCUGGGAGACCCCCACUGGUCAUGGAGAAGCUGGCCAGAGGGGCUAACUGGGGCCCUGGGUUAGAGGCCACUGGGCGGGGACAGGGUGGCCCUCGGUGCCCAGGCAGGCACUGUGGCCGUCGCCCAGCGGAGGGCUGAAUGCUGUGUGGCCCAUCUAGGUCGGAAGCCCCGGGGCCUCGGGCUUUAGCCAGAGUAGCCUGCACCCCAGGCAGGGGUCUUCAGUCCUCCGGGAUGCUAGGAGGAGGCCCCUGGGACACGAGGAGGAAGCACCUGGAGUCCCUGCCAGCCAGAGGACAGGUGGCCAUCGUGAGCUGUAGCUCAGAGGUGUUGGGCAGGGCAGGGGCGGUCAGAUCCGCAUUCAGGUCCGCAUGCUGGCUGCCCGGGCUGGGGUGGGGGGCACAUUUCAGCCUCACCCCCACCCAGGCUCCCUGGGUCCUCCUGAGGCCGGGGCAGCAGGACCAGACCCUGGGCUGGCCAUUCUUGCUCCCAGAGGGGUGGCACUGGGCCCCAGCCAGGGGCAAGUCAUUCUCCCAAACCCAGCAGGGGCUUGGCAACAGGCAGGCAGCCCCUGUAGGUGGAGUCUGCACGCCACAGGCCCAGGAGGGGACCAGAGGGCAGGGCGCUAACACCGGGCGAGGCAGCCCAGUGAGUGGCAUGGUGUCCCCGCCCGUCAUUGCCCCUGGGCUCCUGGUCCCUCUGAGAACCUCGACGUCUCCACCCUGGUCCUUUCCACCAGCAGCACACUCUGCCCUGUCCUGAGCGUCCCCAGCAGCCAGCAGGUCUCGUGUGUGCCAUGUCCUAAUCAGUGUUCAGUCUGUUUUUGUACUGAGAUGUCCCGAGCACUUUAGAAAAGCUGGCUUUGAGCUCUGCUGUUGUGAAGAGGAAGUUCUCAGAGGCCCCCAGCCUCAGUGCUCUGCUCCACGUGGCAGGAAUCGGAGCUUAAGGGCAGUGGGGGCUCCCCGGUCACUCCCAGGAGAGCCUGACUGUGUCUGCAGAGUUUGGCGGUGGCGGUGGCGGGUCUCUGUGCCUGAGGGCUCUGUGGGUGUCCCCAUUGUCUGCUGGGUCCAUGAUCUUAGCGCCUGGCAGUUAUUUCUCCAGUGAUUCCAUUUCCUCACCGCGGGAUAUUUCGGGAACACCCAGAACUUCAGACCGGGUCCUAGCAAUAAAAGUGUCUAAGAUGACCUCUGGCGGAAGCGGAUGUCCUUUGGGGCUCCAGAGUGGGGACAUGGGGACCCAGGUAGGGGCGGGGAGGGGCCCACCGAGCCAGGACGGAACAGCAUACAGACCGAGGCGCUCUGGUCACUGUGGGCAGUGGUGGACAGGGGCUGUGUGACAGUAGCAGGGCUGGAUACGCCAAACACCACUGACUCCUAGCCUUAAGCAGGUUAAGGUGUGUG